rnacentral:lncRNA from 1 species
GAGGAUAAGAAGGGCAAGAAAAAAAAAAGUGGAAAAAAAAAGGAGGAGGAAUUUUUAAAGAUAGAUACAUUCCAUCUGCUUAAAAAAAAAACUUAUAUUUUAAAACAUUUUGAAAUAAUAUGAGUACCAAGGGCAAAUCUUUCUCCUUGCUUCCCUUGAAUUCUUUGUUCCAGAGAAGAAGUACAGCAAGGAUGCCCCGAAGUGAUGUCAUUGAUGUCAUUCCUUCACUGGUGACAUCGACAAAGGCAUAUUCACUUUGCUCGUGGAGAAUAAGCAUGCAACAUGUAGUGAGACAGCCUGCAUGUUGGUCACUGGAGACUAUAAAGGAAACUAGACUUGCAUUUCAUAGGUAUGUUUACUUCUCACAAGUUUAGUAUUUGGUGUUUGUGCCAAUUUUUGGUUGCUCAUAAGUUUUUAUUUUAUAGAUAGCAUCUGCCAUACAGAUAGCUUUCCUAGGUACCUGUAGGAUACAGUAAGCUUCUUCCUCAAAGAGCUUUGUAAUACUAUUGGGAAAAUAUGAC